GGUAAAGAAGCUCACAGAGAGAUUUAAAGAAACUACGAGGAGAAAACGCCGCAUUUUCACGCACAGUGACUGGGUUAAACUUGUAAACACUUGGCCAGUAUAAGUCUUCCUGUAUGAGAACACAACACACUGCUGGGGCCACAGAAAUGUUGGCUGAUGAGACGCUCAUGAUUCAUAAAAUGGGUCAAAUGCAGAUGACAAAGAAAAGUCAACACUGAGCAGGAAGUGCUGACCCAGACUUCCUGCCUCUGUUUAGGUUUUCACUCUGCAGACAGAAAUUUCAACCAGUCAGACUUAAGGCCCAUUCUGCUCUUCCUCCUCCAGAAGACGAGAGACACAUCAGACUGAGUGGCCUAGUCCACUGGGUCAUGUCUCCACUGUCCAUGUCCAGACUCACAGAGGAGGAGGAGGAGCAGGUCCAGACUGCAGCAGACCUGUGGGGCCUCUGGUUGCAUCAGGCCUUCCUCCUGCACAUUCUGUCUGCUGCUGUUCCUAAUGUGUCCUAAUAGUGAUGUGUCCAUAAAGAUUAGGUUUAACGUCUAAUUUCCUCCAGAAGUGAAACAGUAAAAUGGUGGUUUCUGUUCGUCUUAGCUGAGGAGCACCUAAACAUCUUUAUCACUGAGGAAGUGUCCCAUGAUAAAUGUGUCCUUAUAUGAUCUUAACAAGUGUAUGAGACAAAACUAGAGUCAUAAGUUGCUCAUAAUAAGUUUUUCUGAAUGUUUUUCAGUCUGUACUGAUGUUUGAGUCAUGAUGAAAUGUGCCAUUUACUUUCUGUCUCUUUUGAAAGUAACUAAUUACAUGUACUAUAAGAAUGUACUAUUGUACUGCAGUUAAGCAGUGGUAUUCCA